rnacentral:rRNA from 1 species
CCCUUAGAUGUUCUGGGCCGCACGCGCGCUACACUGAUGCAUUCAACGAGUCUAAAACCUGCUCUGAUAGGGGUGGGUAAUCUUUUGAAUGUGCAUCGUGAUUGGGAUAGAUGAUUGCAAUUUUUCAUCUUCAACGAGGAAUGCCUAGUAAACGCAAAUCAUCAGCUUGCAUUGAUUACGUCCCUGCCCUUUGUACACACCGCCCGUCGCUCCUACCGAUUGAAUGAUCCGAUGAAUAUCAUGGAUUGAGGAUGCAAGUAGGUUUGCCUAUCUUCAUCUUCGAGAAGUGAAGUAAAUCUUAUCAUUUAGAGGAAGGAGAAGUCGUAACA